rnacentral:rRNA from 1 species
AUUGAACGCUGGCGGCAGGCCUAACACAUGCAAGUCGAACGAGUGGCGGACGGGUGAGUAAUGUCUGGGAAACUGCCUGAUGGAGGGGGAUAACUACUGGAAACGGUAGCUAAUACCGCAUACCAUCAGAUGUGCCCAGAUGUGAUUAGCUGGUGGGUGGGGUAACGGCUCACCAAGGCGACGAUCCCUAGCUGGUCUGAGAGGAUGACCAGCAACCCUGGAACUUAGCGAGGGUCCAGCCUCCUCCGGGAGGCAGCAGUGGGAAAGAUUGCACAGUGGGCGCAAGCCUGAUGCGGCCAUGCCGCUUGUAUGAAGAGGGCCUUGGGGUUGUAAAGUACUUUCAGCGGGGAGGCGUUACCCGCAGAAGAAGCACCGGCUAACUCCGUGCCAGCAGCCGCGGUAAUUC